rnacentral:rRNA from 1 species
CCUACGGGGCGCAGCAGUAGGGAAUCUUUCACAAUGGGCGAAAGCCUGAUGGAGCAACGCCGCGUGCAGGAUGAAGGCCUUCGGGUUGUAAACUGCUUUUAUAAGCGAGAAAUAUGAUGGUAACUUAUGAAUAAGGAUCGGCUAACUACGUGCCAGCAGCCGCGGUCAUACGUAGGAUCCGAGCAUUAUCCGGAGUGACUGGGUGUAAAGAGUUGCGUAGGUGGCAUAAUAAGUAGCUAGUGAAAUCUGGUGGCUCAACCAUUCAGACUAUUAGCUAAACUGUUAAGCUCGAGACCGUUAGGGGUAACUGGAAUGUCUGGUGUAGGAGUGAAAUCCGUAGAUAUUAGAAGGAACACCAAUAGCGUAGGCAGGUUGCUGGGACGGUUCUGACACUAAGGCACGAAAGCGUAGGGAGCAAACGGGAUUAGAUACCCGUGUAGUC